rnacentral:rRNA from 1 species
AGCGAACGCUGGCGGCAGGCUUAACACAUGCAAGUCGAGCGCCCCGCAAGGGGAGCGGCAGACGGGAGGGUAACACGUGGGAACGUACCCUUCAGUUCGGAACAACCCAGGGAAACUUGGGCUAAUACCGAAUACGUCCGUAAGGAGAAAGAUUUAUCGCUGAAGGAUCGGCCCGCGUCUGAUUAGCUAGUUGGUGAGGUAACGGCUCACCAAGGCGACGAUCAGUAGCUGGUCUGAGAGGAUGAUCAGCCUCACUGGGACUGAGACACGGCCCAGACUCCUACGGGAGGCAGCAGUGGGGAAUAUUGGACAAUGGGCGCAAGCCUGAUCCAGCCAUGCCGCGUGGAUGAUGAAGGCCUUAGGGUUGUAAAGUCCUUUUAACGGGGAAGAUAAUGACGGUACCCGUAGAAUAAGCCCCGGCUAACUUCGUGCCAGCCGCCGCCGUAACAC